rnacentral:rRNA from 1 species
AUUGAACGCUGGCGGCAGGCCUAACACAUGCAAGUCGAGCGGAUGAGGAAAGCUUGCUUUUCGAUUCAGCGGCGGACGGGUGAGUAAUGCCUAGGAAUCUGCCUGUUAGUGGGGGAUAACUCGGGGAAACUCGGGCUAAUACCGCAUACGUCCUACGGGAGAAAGUGGGGGAUCUUCGGACCUCACGCUAACAGAUGAGCCUAGGUCGGAUUAGCUAGUAGGUGAGGUAAUGGCUCACCUAGGCGACGAUCCGUAACUGGUCUGAGAGGAUGAUCAGCCACACUGGAACUGAGACACGGUCCAGACUCCUACGGGAGGCAGCAGUGGGGAAUAUUGGACAAUGGGCGCAAGCCUGAUCCAGCCAUACCGCGUGGGUGAAGAAGGCCUUCGGGUUGUAAAGCCCUUUUGUUGGGAAAGAAAUCCAGCCGGUUAAUACCUGGUUGGGAUGACGGUACCCAAAGAAUAAGCACCGGCUAACUUCGUGCCAGCCGCCGCGGUAAAAC